rnacentral:rRNA from 1 species
AUACGGAGGGUGCAAGCGUUACUCGGAAUCACUGGGCGUAAAGCGCGCGUAGGCGGGUUGGCAAGUCAGAUGUGAAAUCCUACAGCUUAACUGUAGAACUGCAUUUGAAACUGCUAACCUAGAGUAUGGGAGGGGGAGAUGGAAUUAGUGGUGUAGGGGUAAAAUCCGUAGAUAUCACUAGGAAUACCGAAAGCGAAGGCGAUCUCCUGGAACAUAACUGACGCUGAGGCGUGAAAGCGUGGGGAGCAAACAGGAUUAGAAACCCUAGUAGUCC